AAAUUGAAGAGUUUGAUCAUGGCUCAGAUUGAACGCUGGCGGCAGGCCUAACACAUGCAAGUCGAACGGUAACAGGAAGAAGCUUGCUUCUUUGCUGACGAGUGGCGGACGGGUGAGUAAUGUCUGGGAAACUGCCUGAUGGAGGGGGAUAACUACUGGAAACGGUAGCUAAUACCGCAUAACGUCGCAAGACCAAAGAGGGGGACCUUCGGGCCUCUUGCCAUCGGAUGUGCCCAGAUGGGAUUAGCUAGUAGGUGGGGUAACGGCUCACCUAGGCGACGAUCCCUAGCUGGUCUGAGAGGAUGACCAGCCACACUGGAACUGAGACACGGUCCAGACUCCUACGGGAGGCAGCAGUGGGGAAUAUUGCACAAUGGGCGCAAGCCUGAUGCAGCCAUGCCGCGUGUAUGAAGAAGGCCUUCGGGUUGUAAAGUACUUUCAGCGGGGAGGAAGGGAGUAAAGUUAAUACCUUUGCUCAUUGACGUUACCCGCAGAAGAAGCACCGGCUAACUCCGUGCCAGCAGCCGCGGUAAUACGGAGGGUGCAAGCGUUAAUCGGAAUUACUGGGCGUAAAGCGCACGCAGGCGGUUUGUUAAGUCAGAUGUGAA
rnacentral:rRNA from 1 species